rnacentral:rRNA from 1 species
CAAGACUCCUACGGGAGGCAGCAGUGGGGGAUAUUGGACAAUGGGGGGAACCCUGAUCCAGCGACGCCGCGUGAGUGAAGAAGUAUUUCGGUAUGUAAAGCUCUAUCAGCAGGGAAGAAAAUGACGGUACCUGAUUAAGAAGCCCCGGCUAACUACGUGCCAGCAGCCGCGGUAAUACGUAGGGGGCAAGCGUUAUCCGGAUUUACUGGGUGUAAAGGGAGCGUAGACGGCCAUGCAAGUCUGAUGUGAAAACCCGGGGCUCAACCCCGGGACUGCAUUGGAAACUGUGCGGCUGGAGUGUCGGAGAGGCAAGUGGAAUUCCUAGUGUAGCGGUGAAAUGCGUAGAUAUUAGGAGGAACACCAGUGGCGAAGGCGGCUUGCUGGACGACGACUGACGUUGAGGCUCGAAAGCGUGGGUAGCAAACAGGAUUAGAUACCCCAGUAAA